GAUGAACGCUGGCGGCGUGCCUAAUACAUGCAAGUCGAGCGAACGGACGAGAAGCUUGCUUUUCUGAUGUUAGCGGCGGACGGGUGAGUAACACGUGGAUAACCUACCUAUAAGACUGGGAUAACUUCGGGAAACCGGAGCUAAUACCGGAUAAUAUUUUGAACCGCAUGGUUCAAAAGUGAAAGACGGUCUUGCUGUCACUUAUAGAUGGAUCCGCGCUGCAUUAGCUAGUUGGUAAGGUAACGGCUUACCAAGGCAACGAUGCAUAGCCGACCUGAGAGGGUGGUCGGCCACACUGGAACUGAGACAUGGUCCAGACUCCUACGGGAGGCAGCAGUAGGGAAUCUUCCGCAAUGGGCGAAAGCCUGACGGAGCAACGCCGCGUGAGUGAUGAAGGUCUUCGGAUCGUAAAACUCUGUUAUUAGGGAAGAACAUAUGUGUAAGUAACUGUGCACAUCUUGACGGUACCUAAUCAGAAAGCCACGGCUAACUACGUG
rnacentral:rRNA from 1 species